rnacentral:rRNA from 1 species
AUUGAACGCUGGCGGCAGGCCUAACACAUGCAAGUCGAGCGAGCGGCGGACGGGUGAGUAAUGUAUCGGAACCUGCCUGAUGGCGGGGGAUAACUACUGGAAAGAGUAGCUAAUACCGCAUACCAUCAGAGGAACCCAUAUGGGAUUAGCUAGUAGGUGGGGUAACGGCUUACCUAGGCAACGAUCCGUAGCUGGUGUGAGAGGAUGACCAGCCACACUGGGACUGAGACACGGCCCAGACUCCUACGGGAGGCAGCAGUGGGGAAUUUUGGACAAUGGGCGAAACCCUGAUGCAGCCAUGCCGCGUGUAUGAUGAAGGCCUUCGGGUUGUAAAGUACUUUCGGUAGAGAGGCGUUAUCUACAGAAGAAGCACCGGCUAACUACGUGCCAGCCGCCGCGGUAAUAC